UCGGGAAUUUUGGGCAAUGGGCGAAAGCCUGACCCAGCAACGCCGCGUGAAGGAUGAAGUAUUUCGGUAUGUAAACUUCGAAAGAAUAGGAAGAAUAAAUGACGGUACUAUUUAUAAGGUCCGGCUAACUACGUGCCAGCAGCCGCGGUAAUACGUAGGGACCAAGCGUUGUUCGGAUUUACUGGGCGUAAAGGGCGCGUAGGCGGCAAUUCAAGUCAUCUGUGAAAUCUCCGGGCUUAACUCGGAACGGUCAGAUGAUACUGCUUUGCUAGAGUGCAGAAGGGGCAAUCGGAAUUCUUGGUGUAGCGGUGAAAUGCGUAGAUAUCAAGAGGAACACCUGAGGUGAAGACGGGUUGCUGGGCUGACACUGACGCUGAGGCGCGAAAGCCAGGGGAGCAAACGGGGAUUAGAUACCCUGGUAGUCCCUGAGCGGGC
rnacentral:rRNA from 1 species